rnacentral:rRNA from 1 species
UACGUAGGGUGCAAGCGUUGUCCGGAAUUAUUGGGCGUAAAGAGCUCGUAGGCGGUCUGUCGCGUCGGCUGUGAAAGUCCAGGGCUCAACCCUGGGAUGCCGGUGGAUACUGCUGGACUAGAGUGCGGAAGGGGCUACUGGAAUUCUCGGUGUAGCGGUGAAAUGCGUAGAUAUCGAGAGGAACACCUGCGGCGAAGGCGGGUAGCUGGGCCGACACUGACGCUGAGGCGCGAAAGCCAGGGGAGCGAACGGG